rnacentral:lncRNA from 1 species
GAGAGAUCAGGGUUUCCCUUCCGGCAACUCGGAAGGUAGGGUUUUGAUGGCAAAACCCCGAGAAUAUAUCUUGGGUGGAAAGGCUAGACUGGGGAGAAUUUUUGUGAAGGCAAGGCUAGAUGACCAUCUUCACAUACGCAAGAGUGAAAGAAUUCCGAUAACAUCGAUAAAAAAAUGGGAGUCAAAUCUACAAAGGAAAAGAAAACA